GACGAACGCUGGCGGCGUGCUUAACACAUGCAAGUCGAACGGAAAGGCCCCUUUGGGGGUACUCGAGUGGCGAACGGGUGAGUAACACGUGAGUAACCUGCCCUUGACUUCGGGAUAACUUCAGGAAACUGGGGCUAAUACCGGAUAGGAAUCCUUGCUGCAUGGUGGGGGUUGGAAAGCUUCGGCGGUUUUGGAUGGACUCGCGGCUUAUCAGCUUGUUGGUGGGGUAGUGGCUUACCAAGGCUUUGACGGGUAGCCGGCCUGAGAGGGCGACCGGCCACAUUGGGACUGAGGGACGGCCCAGACUCCUAAGGGAGGCAGCAGUGGGGAAUAUUGAACAAUGGGCGGAAGCCUGAUGCAGCAACGCCGCGGGCGGGAUGACGGCCUUCGGGUUGUAAAACGCUUUCAGCAGGGGCGAAGCUUGUGGUGACGGUACCUGCAGAAGAAGCACCGGCUAACUACGUG
rnacentral:rRNA from 1 species